rnacentral:rRNA from 1 species
UUGACUUCGGAUCAGGUAGGAAUACCCGCUGAACUUAAGCAUAUCAAUAAGCGGAGGAAAAGAGG